ACGAACGCUGGCGGCGUGCCUAACACAUGCAAGUCGAGCGGAGACAGUGAGUAGCUUGCUACGAACUGUUUUAGCGGCGGACGGGUGAGUAACGCGUGAGCAACCUUUCCCAGACAGGGGAAUAACACACCGAAAGGUGUACUAAUACCGCAUAAGACCACGGGAUCACAUGGUUCUGAGGUAAAAGAUUUAUCGGUUUGGGGUGGGCUCGCGUCCGAUUAGGUAGUUGGUGAGGUAACGGCCCACCAAGCCGACGAUCGGUAGCCGACCUGAGAGGGUGAUCGGCCACAUUGGGACUGAGACACGGCCCAAACUCCUACGGGAGGCAGCAGUGGGGAAUAUUGGGCAAUGGAGGAAACUCUGACCCAGCAACGCCGCGUGGAGGAAGAAGGUUUUCGGAUCGUAAACUCCUGUCCUUGGAGACGAGUAGAAGACGGUAUCCAAGGAGGAAGCCCCGGCUAACUACGUGCCAGCAGCCGCGGUAAUACGUAGGGGGCAAGCGUUGUCCGGAAUAAUUGGGCGUAAAGGGCGCGUAGGCGGCUCGGUAAGUCUGGAGUGAAAGUCCUGCUUUUAAGGUGGGAAUUGCUUUGGAUACUGUCGGGCUUGAGUGCAGGAGAGGUUAGUGGAAUUCCCAGUGUAGCGGUGAAAUGCGUAGAGAUUGGGAGGAACACCAGUGGCGAAGGCGACUAACUGGACUGUAACUGACGCUGAGGCGCGAAAGUGUGGGGAGCAAACAGGAUUAGAUACCCUGGUAGUCCACACUGUAAACGAUGAAUGCUAGGUGUAGGGGGUAUCGACCCCUUCUGUGCCGCAGUCAACACAAUAAGCAUUCCGCCUGGGGAGUACGGCCGCAAGGUUGAAACUCAAAGGAAUUGACGGGGGCCCGCACAAGCAGUGGAGUAUGUGGUUUAAUUCGACGCAACGCGAAGAACCUUACCAGGUCUUGACAUCCGUGUAAAGCCGCAGAGAUGCGGUGUGAGCUUGCUCAAUACGAGACAGGUGGUGCAUGGUUGUCGUCAGCUCGUGUCGUGAGAUGUUGGGUUAAGUCCCGCAACGAGCGCAACCCCUGUUCUUAGUUGCCAGCACAUAAUGGUGGGAACUCUAAGAAGACUGCCGGUGAUAAAUCGGAGGAAGGUGGGGAUGACGUCAAAUCAUCAUGCCCUUUAUGUCUUGGGCUACACACGUACUACAAUGGCUGUAACAGAGAGAAGCAACACCGCGAGGUAGAGCGAAACUCCAAAAGCAGUCUCAGUUCGGAUUGAAGGCUGAAAUUCGCCUUCAUGAAGCCGGAAUUGCUAGUAAUGGCAGGUCAGCAUACUGCCGUGAAUACGUUCCCGGGCCUUGUACACACCGCCCGUCACACCAUGAGAGUUGGGAAUACCCGAAGCCUGUGAGCUAACUUUUAGAGGCAGCAGUCGAAGGUAGAAUCAAUGAUUGGGGUG
rnacentral:rRNA from 1 species